UACGUAGGGGGCAAGCGUUAUCCGGAUUUACUGGGUGUAAAGGGGGCGCAGACGGCAGCGCAAGCCAGGAGUGAAAGCCCGGGGCCCAACCCCGGGACUGCUCUUGGAACUGCGCGGCUGGAGUGCAGGAGGGGCAGGCGGAAUUCCUGGUGUAGCGGUGAAAUGCGUAGAUAUCAGGAGGAACACCGGUGGCGAAGGCGGCCUGCUGGGCUGCGACUGACGUUGAGGCCCGAAAGCGUGGGGAGCAAACAGG
rnacentral:rRNA from 1 species